rnacentral:rRNA from 1 species
GACGAACGCUGGCGGCGUGCUUAACACAUGCAAGUCGAACGGAAAGGCCCUGCUUUUGUGGGGUGCUCGAGUGGCGAACGGGUGAGUAACACGUGAGUAACCUGCCCUUGACUUUGGGAUAACUUCAGGAAACUGGGGCUAAUACCGGAUAGGAGCUCCUGCUGCAUGGUGGGGGUUGGAAAGUUUCGGCGGUUGGGGAUGGACUCGCGGCUUAUCAGCUUGUUGGUGGGGUAGUGGCUUACCAAGGCUUUGACGGGUAGCCGGCCUGAGAGGGUGACCGGCCACAUUGGGACUGAGAUACGGCCCAGACUCCUACGGGAGGCAGCAGUGGGGAAUAUUGCACAAUGGGCGGAAGCCUGAUGCAGCAACGCCGCGUGCGGGAUGACGGCCUUCGGGUUGUAAACCGCUUUCGCCUGUGACGAAGCGUGAGUGACGGUAAUGGGUAAAGAAGCACCGGCUAACUACGUGCCAGCAGCCGCGGUGAUACGUAGGGUGCGAGCGUUGUCCGGAUUUAUUGGGCGUAAAGGGCUCGUAGGUGGUUGAUCGCGUCGGAAGUGUAAUCUUGGGGCUUAACCCUGAGCGUGCUUUCGAUACGGGUUGACUUGAGGAAGGUAGGGGAGAAUGGAAUUCCUGGUGGAGCGGUGGAAUGCGCAGAUAUCAGGAGGAACACCAGUGGCGAAGGCGGUUCUCUGGGCCUUUCCUGACGCUGAGGAGCGAAAGCGUGGGGAGCGAACAGGCUUAGAUACCCUGGUAGUCCACGCUGUAAACGGUGGGUACUAGGUGUGGGGUCCAUUCCACGGGUUCCGUGCCGUAGCUAACGCUUUAAGUACCCCGCCUGGGGAGUACGGCCGCAAGGCUAAAACUCAAAGGAAUUGACGGGGCCCCGCACAAGCGGCGGAGCAUGCGGAUUAAUUCGAUGCAACGCGUAGAACCUUACCUGGGUUUGACAUGGAUCGGGAGUGCUCAGAGAUGGGUGUGCCUCUUUUGGGGUCGGUUCACAGGUGGUGCAUGCCUGUCGUCAGCUCGUGUCGUGAGAUGUUGGGUUAAGUCCCGCAACGAGCGCAACCCUUGUUCACUGUUGCCAGCACGUUAUGGUGGGGACUCAGUGGAGACCGCCGGGGUCAACUCGGAGGAAGGUGGGGAUGACGUCAAGUCCUCAUGCCCCUUAUGUCCAGGGCUUCACGCAUGCUACAAUGGCUGGUACAGAGAGUGGCGAGCCUGUGAGGGUGAGCGAAUCUCGGAAAGCCGGUCUCAGUUCGGAUUGGUGUCUGCAACUCGACCUCAUGAAGUCGGAGUCGCUAGUAAUCGCAGAUCAGCAACGCUGCGGUGAAUACGUUCCCGGG